rnacentral:rRNA from 1 species
UACGUAGGGUGCAAGCGUUAAUCGGAAUUACUGGGCGUAAAGCGUGCGCAGGCGGUUUGCUAAGACAGGUGUGAAAUCCCCGGGCUUAACCUGGGAACUGCGCUUGUAACUGGCAAGCUUGAGUGUGGCAGAGGGGGGUGGAAUUCCACGUGUAGCAGUGAAAUGCGUAGAGAUGUGGAGGAACACCGAUGGCGAAGGCAGCCCCCUGGGCUAACACUGACGCUCAUGCACGAAAGCGUGGGGAGCAAACAGG